AUUCUUGGUCUCUAUCUUUCUUUCUUUCUACCUCUUGUUCUCUUACCAUUCCUCCCUCUCUCUCUCCUUCUUUCUUUCUGUUCCUCUGUCUGCCCCCUCAGGUCUCGUAUGCCUCUCCUCAGUUGGUGUACUACAGUCUGAGUGGGCCCUCCUCUGGCCUCUUAUCCAUCAGCUGUGGCCUACUCAAAGUGCACCGCCCUGUCAGUCGGGAAGAGUUCACCAACAUCACUGUACUGUGGUGGGCCAAAUAAAUGCUACUGAUAUGCAUGAGCCCAACACUCCUCAUACAAAGAUCAGAUAUGCCCUGCUGUCAGGAACAGAGCUCUUCAACAUGGAGAAUCAUCACCACUAACUCAGCCAUGCUGGACAGAGAGACACAGGAGGACAAACAUCUGGUCUCAGACACAGGACAAACAUCUGGUCUCAGACACAGGACAAACAUCUGGCCUCAGACACAGGACAAACAUCUGGCCUCAGACACAGGACAAACAUCUGGCCUCAGACACAGGACAAACAUCUGGUUGUGGUGGAAAUUUGAGACAUGGAUGGGGCACACAAUGGUCUGGCAAACACAGUGACUGCUACAGUCAUGAUGACCGAUGAAAAUGACAAUCCACCUACCUUCAGACAGUCAGACAACUGUGAAUGAAAAUGAUGAAUAAUUGUUUCUUUGUCCUUUCUGAAGGUAAACGGCAGCGCUGCAACUCGCCAACCUGCUGAAAACACACCAGGCAUGAGAACAUUUGGAAGUUCGAGGCUAGAGUAUUGGAGAUCCAAGCAGGUGUACAAAUCCUGGGUAUUCCAGUGGAUGAUAAGGAUCAGAGGGGGAGCCCCAACUGGAUCGAAAGGAAACGAGAGCAGACAUUUUAGGGUGGAAACAGACCCUCAUACCAAUGAGGGGCUGCUGGUUAUUGUGAAGCCUCUUGACUAUGUGCAGGUCAGGCAGGUGGUGCUGGAGCUAGCGGCUGUGGCAGCAGGGCCUUGGCCAGACAGCGGGUGUUUGUGGAGCUCAGUGUGGUGGAUGUGGACGAGUGGCCCGAGUUCUUUACGCCACCUGGUUCACGGCUACUGAGGUCACAGGGGAACUGCGAACCAUGAGAACCAUUGAUAAGACCUCAAGGUUUGUGUCCAACAGAGUCUACAACAUGAGCAUCAGGAGCAGAGGACUGUGGUGAGUAUGUAGUAUCUCACCUUUUGAUUCUAUUUUCCACGGGUAGAGGUGGAAGUGGUGUUCAUCGUCAGCAUCUCUACUCUCUCGGUUCUAGUGACAGCAGUAGUGAUA
rnacentral:lncRNA from 1 species